CUCCUUUUUUUUUGGAUGAAAUUGCCCUUGCAUGCAAUACUCCUUAUUUUCUUUUCCCUUUUUUAUUGCUUCAUCGUUCAUAAAAGCUAUUUGUCUAUCUCUCUCAUCUGAGUCUAAUUCUCACUUUCCAUGGAAGUGGUUCGUAGUUUUGUUAUGUCAUUUUGAAUAUUUUUUGUACGAAUUUCUUUCUUUGAAUUCCGAAUUCCAAAAUAGUGUGAUUUAAAUUAGGUUUUUAUUUAUCGGAAAAGUAUAUUCGAAUUCGAAUGGUGGGAUAGUGGCGGUGGUGGUAGCGGUGGUUUCCGUGAUUGUCUGAUUACUGAGAAUUACGCCGGAUUGAUUUUCAUGCAUUAAUUUGCAGUGUUUUCGAUUUGUGAAUUGAAGCACGAGUUUAGCUUGAGGACAACAUAUUAAGCUCAAGUGGGUAGUUGCUAUAUAGAUUUCGCAUGGAAGCAAAUCUUCAAAGAGAAAGAUGGUGGAGAAUCCUAAAAGAAUUGAUCAACCUAAGAAGAAGCUAAGUGAACAAAGGUCCAAGAGUGAACAAGCGUCGAAGUUGCACUCUUCGAAAGGUUCACCCAUGCAACCUACUCCACUAUUUGAAGACAUUGUUCUUCAAUUGCUCUUUUCUGACAUGACCUUUCUUCACAACCGUGCUUUUCAUUUGGU